UGGUGGUGGUGGUGGUGGUAUGGUAGUCGAGUGUAUGUGUAUAUGUUUGUGCGUGACUGGCUGACUGACUGACUGGUUGGUUGGCUGAAUGAAUGCUUAACUGACUAACUAAUUAACUUUUUGCCUUUCUGAAUGGCUGAAUGCUUUUCUGACUGACUUGUUGACUGACUGACUGACUAACUUCCUGACUGGUGUGGUGAGUUAGCGAAGUGUUGCUGAUUUAUUCAUUCCCUUGACCUUCUGUGCUGACCUGACCUGACCUGACUGACUGAUGGGAUGGUGAACUGGAGAAGUGAAACUGGCCUAUCCAACCCCGUGACUAGAGUGGUGACUGACUAACUGGCUCGCGGAAUUAAUAGAAGUUGUGCUGACUGACUGAAUGAAUGAAUGACUUGCGGAAUAGUAAAGUAAAAGUUGCGCUGACGAAUCGAUUUAUUGACUGACUCACUGACUGACUGACUUCCGGAACAGUGAAUUAAAAGGUUGCGCCGAGUUAUUUAUUCUCCUGUCUUAACUGCGUUGCGUGACUGUCGUGGCUGUGAUUUAAAGAAGUGAACAGCGACAGUCACUACUCAGCUCUGCGCUCCAUAUCAUUACAGUCACGCAGUCCUGGGUCUUGAAUACUGGACUGACUGGCUGGCCGACUGGCUGGCUGGGUUGGCUUGAGAAUUGCGUCCGCCUUUCACGUCAACUCUUUCCAAAUGCCGAGAAAGAGAUGAGUCGGGUUCUAAGGAGUAUUUUUUAGGCUCAUGGUACAAAAGAAGGGUCAAGCUACCACCAGGGUCAUAAAACUACACCUGGAUAUGCCCACAACUCCCACGAAAGCCUGGUCAAAAAUAUGUGUGUUCCUGGAUGUUAAUAUGUUUAAGAAUAUAACCCAAAGAGAUCAUGAGAGGGAAUUUAUUUGAAGGGGAACGCGCAUUUUAGGUUUGUGUUUUAGGAUAGAUCAUAAACUCACCCCUGGAAAUGCCCACAACUCCUACGAAAGCAUUGCCAAAAAUAUGUGUGUGUUUAGGCGUGGAAAUGUUUAAGAAAAUGACCUAAAGAAACAAUGAGAGGGAAUUUGUUUGAAGGGGAACGCGCAUAUUAGGUUAGUGUUUAUUGUGUAGACAGAGAUAGGAAGAUAAACAGACAGGACACACAGACAGACAGACAGACAGAUGACCAGGCACGUAAUCAAGCACAACCAGAUGGACGAACACACAAACAACAGAGUAACAAAAAAAGGGACAGCAUAAAUUCUAGCUGCGCGUGGCCUCAGUGCUCAUCUCCGUAACCUCGUUGAGUGAGUAGUCUAGACCCACAUUAGCCAAGUCGGAAAGGGACUUAUAAUUAAAGUCAAACUGGACGAUACAUUUUGAAGACAUCUAAGUGCUCUUUAACGAGACUCAGGUGACAACGGAGUGUCCUUGACGGUGUGUGUGUGUUCAAGACGUGACUUGCGUGGUGUCUAGACAUGUAUAUAUCAGGCUCAAUGUAUCCGGAAGGAGGAGGAGGAGGAGGAGGAGGAGGAGGAAACGAAGAAGAAUGAGAAAAAGGAGGAGGAGAAGCAGGAGCAGUAGGAGAAGGAGGAGGAAGGGGAGAAGCAGGAGGAGGAGGAGGAGGAGGAGCAGUAGGAGGAGAAGAGGGAGAAGGAGGGGGAGAAGAAGGAGGAGGAAAUGGAGGUGAAAAUGAAGAAAGAAAAGGAGAAAUAAAAUCAACAAUAACAAAUACGAAUAAUAAAAAAGAAGAACAGGAACAAGACUAAAGAAUAAUAAUGAGAAGGAGAAGGAGGAGGAGAAGAUGUUGAAGUGGAGAUGGAGAAAGAAGAGGAAGAAUAAGAAGAACAACAAUAACAAGUGGAAAUAACAGGAAAAAGAAGAACAGGAAGAAGUAUAAAGAAAAACAAUAUUAAUAAGGAGGAAGAGAAGAGGAAGAUGUGGACGAAGAGGGGAAGGAGGAGAAAGAAGAGGAAAAACAAGAAAAACAUCAAUAACGAGUGGAAAUUAUAGGAAAAAGAAGAACAGGGAAAAGUCGAGAGAAUAAUAAUAAAAAUAAGAAUGAGGAAGAGAAGAGGAAGAGGUGGACAAAGAAGGGAAGGAGGAGAAAGAGAGGAAAAAUAAGAGAAAUCAAUAACAAGUGGAAAUAAUAGGGAAAAAAAGAACAGGAACUACUAGGGAAUACUGAAGAGGAGGAGGAGAAGAAGGAGGAGGAAGCAGAGAAGAGAAAGAGGUGGAGAUAGAGAAAGAAGAAGAAAAAGAAGAAAAACAACAAUGGCAUACGAAUUAGAGGAAAACGAAGGAGGGGAACAAAACUAGCGGAUAACACUAAUAAGAAGGAAGAAGUGAAGGAAGAGAAGAAGAAAAAAAAACUAGCUCGUAAACUCGCUGCAGUAGGUCAUCAAAAGGCGGCGAAAUGAGCACACACACACACACACACACACACACACACACACACACACACACACACACACACACACACACACACACACACACACACACACGAUUGCCACUAAAUAUUCUAUGCACUAGCAGGAGAAAAUGGACAGACAGACAUACGAACAUACUAACUCCUUAUCUUAAUUGGCGCUUGAGGAUACAAAGACAGACAGACAGAGAGAUUGAAAGAUAAACAGACAGACGGACAGACGAACAGGCACGUAGGCAAGCAAACAUACAGACAGACUGACAUUUAAACACACACACACACACACACACACACACACACACACACACACACACACACACACACACACAC